CCAACAGCAUUGUGUUGCUGCUCCAUUUGAUAUGGGAAGUGAAAUCACCAAUCUGGACUGUGACCCACCUCCUGCCUCCCGACACGACCAAGGAGCUGCAAUUUCGUUUUAACUAUCUGAUUAUGAAUCAACUUAGCUGAGACAGAAAUCACGACCUGUAAACUUCACCUCCUAUGACAAUAGACCUUAAGAAUUGUGGUCCUGGUUCAGCUGCCGGAGAGACUGGAGAAGGUUGCUGGUCAACUUCUCUCAUUUCUCAGAAGGUGCCAUGGUGAAUUAUUCAUCAGG